rnacentral:rRNA from 1 species
UACGUAGGGGGCAAGCGUUGUCCGGAAUCAUUGGGCGUAAAGCGCGUGUAGGCGGCCCGAUUAGUCCGCUCUGAAAGUCCAGGGCUCAACCCUGGGAUGCGGGUGGAUACUGUCGGGCUAGAGUCCGGAAGAGGCGAGUGGAAUUCCUGGUGUAGCGGUGAAAUGCGCAGAUAUCAGGAGGAACACCAAUGGCGAAGGCAGCUCGCUGGGACGUGACUGACGCUGAGACGCGAAAGCGUGGGGAGCAAACAGG